AUAAGAAAAGGGCCAGAUAUACAUGCAAGUCGAACGCGUUGGCCCAAUUGAUUGAUGGUGCUUGCACCUGAUUGAUUUUGGUCGCCAACGAGUGGCGGACGGGUGAGUAACACGUAGGUAACCUGCCCAGAAGCGGGGGACAACAUUUGGAAACAGAUGCUAAUACCGCAUAACAACGUUGUUCGCAUGAACAACGCUUAAAAGAUGGCUUCUCGCUAUCACUUCUGGAUGGACCUGCGGUGCAUUAGCUUGUUGGUGGGGUAACGGCCUACCAAGGCGAUGAUGCAUAGCCGAGUUGAGAGACUGAUCGGCCACAAUGGGACUGAGACACGGCCCAUACUCCUACGGGAGGCAGCAGUAGGGAAUCUUCCACAAUGGGCGCAAGCCUGAUGGAGCAACACCGCGUGAGUGAAGAAGGGUUUCGGCUCGUAAAGCUCUGUUGUUAAAGAAGAACACGUAUGAGAGUAACUGUUCAUACGUUGACGGUAUUUAACCAGAAAGUCACGGCUAACUACGUGCCAGCAGCCGCGGUAAUACGUAGGUGGCAAGCGUUAUCCGGAUUUAUUGGGCGUAAAGAGAGUGCAGGCGGUUUUCUAAGUCUGAUGUGAAAGCCUUCGGCUUAACCGGAGAAGUGCAUCGGAGACUGGAUAACUUGAGUGCAGAAGAGGGUAGUGGAACUCCAUGUGUAGCGGUGGAAUGCGUAGAUAUAUGGAAGAACACCAGUGGCGAAGGCGGCUACCUGGUCUGCAACUGACGCUGAGACUCGAAAGCAUGGGUAGCGAACAGGAUUAGAUACCCUGGUAGUCCAUGCCGUAUACGAUGAGUGCUAGGUGUUGGAGGGUUUCCGCCCUUCAGUGCCGGAGCUAACGCAUUAAGCACUCCGCCUGGGGAGUACGACCGCAAGGUUGAAACUCAAAGGAAUUGACGGGGGCCCGCACAAGCGGUGGAGCAUGUGGUUUAAUUCGAAGCUACGCGAAGAACCUUACCAGGUCUUGACAUCUUGCGCCAACCCUAGAGAUAGGGCGUUUCCUUCGGGAACGCAAUGACAGGUGGUGCAUGGUCGUCGUCAGCUCGUGUCGUGAGAUGUUGGGUUAAGUCCCGCAACGAGCGCAACCCUUGUUACUAGUUGCCAGCAUUAAGUUGGGA
rnacentral:rRNA from 1 species